UACGUAGGGUGCAAGCGUUGUCCGGAAUUAUUGGGCGUAAAGAGCUUGUAGGCGGUUUGUCGCGUCUGCUGUGAAAUUUCGGGGCUCAACCCCGAACUUGCAGUGGGUACGGGCAGACUAGAGUGAUGUAGGGGAGACUGGAAUUCCUGGUGUAGCGGUGAAAUGCGCAGAUAUCAGGAGGAACACCGAUGGCGAAGGCAGGUCUCUGGGCAUUAACUGACGCUGAGGAGCGAAAGCAUGGGGAGCGAACAGG
rnacentral:rRNA from 1 species